rnacentral:rRNA from 1 species
CGAGUGGCGGACGGGUGAGUAAUGUCUGGGAAACUGCCUGAUGGAGGGGGAUAACUACUGGAAACGGUAGCUAAUACCGCAUAACGUCGCAAGACCAAAGAGGGGGACCUUCGGGCCUCUUGCCAUCGGAUGUGCCCAGAUGGGAUUAGCUGUGGUGGGGUAACGGCUCACCAGGCGACGAUCCCUAGCUGGUCUGAGAGGAUGACCAGCCACACUGGAACUGAGACACGGUCCAGACUCCUACGGGAGGCAGCAUG